rnacentral:rRNA from 1 species
AUUGAACGCUGGCGGCAUGCCUUACACAUGCAAGUCGAACGGCAGCACGGGUGCUUGCACCUGGUGGCGAGUGGCGAACGGGUGAGUAAUACAUCGGAACAUGUCCUGUAGUGGGGGAUAGCCCGGCGAAAGCCGGAUUAAUACCGCAUACGAUCUACGGAUGAAAGCGGGGGACCUUCGGGCCUCGCGCUAUAGGGUUGGCCGAUGGCUGAUUAGCUAGUUGGUGGGGUAAAGGCCUACCAAGGCGACGAUCAGUAGCUGGUCUGAGAGGACGACCAGCCAAACUGGGACUGAGAAACGGCCCAGACUCCUACGGGAGGCAGCAGUGGGGAAUUUUGGACAAUGGGCGAAAGCCUGAUCCAGCAAUGCCGCGUGUGUGAAGAAGGCCUUCGGGUUGUAAAGCACUUUUGUCCGGAAAGAAAUCCUUGGCCCUAAUACGGUCGGGGGAUGACGGUACCGGAAGAAUAAGCACCGGCUAACUACGUG